UACGGGGGGAGCAAGCGUUGUUCGGAUUUACUGGGCGUAAAGGGCGCGUAGGCGGUCGUGACAAGUCACUUGUGAAAUCUCCGGGCUUAACUCGGAACGGUCAAGUGAUACUGUCGGACUAGAGUACAGAAGGGGCAACUGGAAUUCUCGGUGUAGCGGUGAAAAUGCGUAGAUAUCAGGAGGAACACCGGUGGCGAAGGCGGGUCUCUGGGCCGUAACUGACGCUGAGGGAGCGAAAAGCGUGGGGGAGCGAACAGG
rnacentral:rRNA from 1 species